rnacentral:lncRNA from 7 species
CGUAUACCUAUUUACCUUACAAUCUCUAUACCUGUUUGCCAUAUGUAUGCAUUCAUGUGGAACUGAAUAUAUAGACAUUAGCCAUGAAAAAUAUCUUAGUUUAAAUGUAAAAUAAAUUCUUAGAGUACACAAUUUCACAGUAGAGUUUUGUCAAAAAGCUUUUCAAUCUUCCUCAAUUUAUGCCAAAAAAUGUACAUUUUAUAAUCUAAAAUCCAAAAGCUGAUGACUUAUCUUUAAAAUAUAUGUAUAUUUUAAAAAAAAAUUAGAUGUUCUACUUAAUUUAAAUUAUAAGAAGCCAUACUCUUUCAGCUGUUGACAAGUCUCCACAGGCAAACGGGGGGGGAGGUGAGGAGGGAUUAAGCACUGAAAGAAACUGAGAUGCCAAAAGUAAUGUGCAGCUUGUGUGGGGAUCAGGGAUGCUUUUUUCAGCAGUGUGUUCAUAAAUUUUAUCCCGAGUGUAUAUUGUGAGCAGAAAGUCAAGGAUUUAAUACUACUGGCAGUAAGCCAGAGGUAUGUGGGGAAGGUUUUAUAUGAAGUCCCCACACACCACUCUGCUUAUCCACUCAAAUUGAUCUGCAAAGCCUCUUGCUUAUAUUCAUUCUGGACUCCCCAUGUACAGAUGCAUUGGCACAUCUCAGGGGAGGCUUAUACUACAUCUCACUACUCCAACCCUAAAGGUCACCAGUAAUUCUGUCACCUGCAUCAUAAUUCUGAGUUUCAGACCUCCCUGCAGCCUUUUUGCUAGAACAUGGCCCCUUCAUGCUAGCUCCCAGUAACUUUUUGACUUCUCAUUCCUGUCUCUUUCACAUCAGCUAAUGCUAUUCCUUACUCGAGAAAAGAAGAACUUUAGAAACCGCUCAUUCAGGCUGAAUUUGAAUUACCAACCAGCUCUAUAUGCUGUUUAGGGUUACUUGAGCCAUUCAGUCCAGGAGAACUAUUCAUCUUAGUUAGUGUGGGAUUUUCAUGAAUUCUCCAGUUAAGAAGCUAGUGAAUACUGAAAGCGUAUCACAUCUUAUAGUACUGAAAUGCUGAAAACUGAUAAAGGCCACAUAAGCAAUUUGCAGAUCUAAAGGGAAUAGCUAGCAUGGGUAUGAAAGCUGAACUGUCAGAUACAAGCUUGGAAGUCAUCGUCUUACUUUAGGGCUAUAUUCUGUAUGCUACCUUAAACCACAGGAUAAUUCUUACAUCAAAGUACCAGAUGCAGACAUUCAAAGGCUGCUGAAUAUCUUACCUUGCAGUUAGUUCCAGUAUCUUUGGGAGAAUCAUAGAUUAUGCUUUUGGAUUCUGAACCAUAGUGAAUUCUACUGUCUGCUCAGUGAUAUGGAAAAUGCUACCUAAAAAGGGCGGGAAUUUCCAAUAAAUAAUUUGCAGGUGAAAACAUGAUCCUGCCUGUGCUGAGAACUAAUUUGGUCUCACUGGAACCUUAGCAGCCAUCACCUAUUUAGGUAUGAAGAGGUAAGAGUAAAUGUUCUUCCAUCAUUUUGAGCUUACUAGGUCACCCAGGUGAAGGUAUGGCAUAGCUGCAUAGGAGGUUGUCUUCCCAACGAUGUCUGGGCCGGAGCAGCCUGGAGGCAUCAAAGCCAGCUCCUUGCCUCAUGGUGGUUUCCUUGCCAGAGGAUCACCAAGUUAGUAAAGCUGAACAAAAAUUCUAGGCCAAAAUUACAGCAUCUGAAAUGAAAGUGCUACUAAGGGAUGUUGGUUCUGUUAUAAUGAAAGCUCAAAUUAAUUAUUAGAAAAAUGAAGGAAGCACCUCCUGAGUUUGAGACUAUAACAGGAUAAGUAAUAAGAAAAAUCCUUACCUUGAGAAUAUAAAGAUUUUCAAAUCAAAAAAGCAUCAGG